GAUGCCCCCGACAUCUUAAAUUCUCAUCACAGCUUUUUAAGGUUAAGAACAGACACGUGCAAACUUGUGUUUGAGUAAUGGCUCUAUCAAUGAAGCAGAACAAAGAUCGGGUUACGACUUUUUUGUAAAAAAAAUUUAAUUGCAUUGACAAAACCUUAUUGUCACUCCUAUUAAUGACUCAAACUGUCUUAGUUAACAGUCCAGCAUCAUGUUAAGGAAAACACCAGGCCCUAAAAGACUUAAAAAGUUGUGUAAAUGUAUGUUAUCAGGACACACCUCUCAGGGGCAAUAUUGACCGAGGGAGGAGAUGCUGCAUUUAGUAGUGUAAAGUUUAAAGUCUCAGGGGAUUUAAAUAUGUGCUUCUAGCCAAACUUAUUGAUUUAUCGCUGUCUACAGAGAUGCAGAACACAGUGGCUGGUCGUUAAAACAGAAACAGACUGGAAUGGCUUCAUUUGGACAAAUAAUUUUUGGGACAAUGGUUGUUCUCAUCAUUGUAUUCGCUGGUCUCAUUUUAAUUUUGACUUUAGGUUAGAAUUUUGAUUUUCAGUCUCACAAGGUACCGUUGAGAGCAGCAGCCCCUCUAUUGUGGGAAAUCUUGGACAGGACGAGGUCAUUGAUUGCACGUUUAAUACCAAGAGCAACAGUGGGUUGACUGAAGAUGUAUCAAUCUCUUGGUAAAA